UGCCAGCCGCCGCGGUAAUACGUACUGUGCGAACGUUAUUCGGAAUCACUGGGCUUAAAGGGUGCGUAGGCGGUCAUUUAAGUAGGGUGUGAAAUCCCCCGGCUCAACCGGGGAACUGCGCUCUAAACUGGAUGGCUUGAGUAAGAUAGGGGUGUGCGGAACUUCCGGUGGAGCGGUGAAGUGCAUUGAUAUCAUCAGGAACACCGGUGGCGAAGGCGGCUCACUGGAUCUCUUCUGACGCUGAGGCACGAAAGCUAGGGUAGCGAACGGGAUUAGAUA
rnacentral:rRNA from 1 species